CAGCCGCCGCGGGAAUACAGAGGGUGCGAGCGUUAAUCGGAUUUACUGGGCGUAAAGCGUGCGUAGGCGGCUUCUUAAGUCGGAUGUGAAAUCCCCGGGCUUAACCUGGGAACUGCAUUUGAAACUGGCAGGCUAGAGUCUUGUAGAGGGGGGUAGAAUUCCAGGUGUAGCGGUGAAAUGCGUAGAGAUCUGGAGGAAUACCGGUGGCGAAGGCGGCCCCCUGGACAAAGACUGACGCUCAGGUGCGAAAGCGUGGGGAGCAAACAGGAUUAGAUACCCCUGUAGUCCCUGUCUCUUAUAC
rnacentral:rRNA from 1 species